GGCCUGGUGGUCUAGUAGUAUGAUUCCUUCUUCGGGUUGAACUUGUGCCCCAGAACACUGUUCUGCUGAUUGGAGGAGGUCCCGGGUUCAAUUCCCGGCCAGGCCC